ACUGGCCUCAUCCACCUAUUUUGAUCCCAUUAUUACUUCAGUUUUUGCUCUCACAUUUAUUUUCUCAUGCCUCCCAACCAAUUGAAAAGAUUUUUUUUUUUUUUUUUCAAAAUUUGUCCUUUACUCUUCACAUUCUUACCCCUUUUGAACACACCAUUAGAAUCUUCAACAAGAAACCCACUGAAGAAGCCAAUAGGGCAAACCUUCCUCAAAAGAAAGAAAACAUGAAUCAUUCUUAAAAUGAGACAAUUUUG
rnacentral:misc_RNA from 1 species